rnacentral:rRNA from 1 species
UACGAAUAAGGACCGGCUAAUUCCGUGCCAGCAGCCGCGGUAAUACGGAAGGUCCAGGCUUUAUCCGGAUUUAUUGGGUUUAAAGGGAGCGUAGGCUGUUUGUUAAGCGUGUUGUGAAAUGUAGGAGCUCAACUUUUAGAUUGCAGCGCGAACUGGCAGACUUGAGUGCGCACAACGUAGGCGGAAUUCAUGGUGUAGCGGUGAAAUGCUUAGAUAUCAUGACGAACUCCGAUUGCGAAGGCAGCUUACGGGAGCGCAACUGACGCAAAAGCUCGAAGGUGCGGGUAUCGAACAGGAUUUGAUACCCUGGUAGUCCGCACAGUAAACGAUGGAUGCCCGCU